rnacentral:rRNA from 1 species
GACGAACGCUGGCGGCGUGCUUAACACAUGCAAGUCGAACGGAAAGGCCCUGCUUUUGUGUGGUGCUCGAGUGGCGAACGGGUGAGUAACACGUGAGUAACCUGCCCUUGACUUUGGGAUAACAUCUGGAAACUGCGGCUAAUACCGGAUAGGAGCUUCUGCUGCACGGUGGGGGUUGGAAAGUUUCGGCGGUUUGGGCUGGUCUCGCGGCUUAUCAGCUUGAUGGUGGGGUAGUGGCUUUCCAAGGCUUUGACGGGUAGACGGCCUGGGAGCGUGACCGGGCACCUUAGUACUGCGGUACGCACCAGACUCGUACGUGAGGCAGCGGUGGGAAGUCUUGCGCAGUGGGCGCGAGCCUGUGGCAGCAGCCCCGCGUGCGUAAAGACGGCCUUCGGGUUGUGAACCGCUUUCGCCUGAGACGAAGCGUGAGUGACGGUAAUGGGUAAAGAAGCACCGGCUAACUACGUG